CAGUCGCCGCGGUAAUACGAAGGGGGCUAGCGUUGUUCGGAAUUACUGGGCGUAAAGCGCACGUAGGCGGACAUUUAAGUCAGGGGUGAAAUCCCGGGGCUCAACCCCGGAACUGCCUUUGAUACUGGGUGUCUAGAGUAUGGAAGAGGUGAGUGGAAUUCCGAGUGUAGAGGUGAAAUUCGUAGAUAUUCGGAGGAACACCAGUGGCGAAGGCGGCUCACUGGUCCAUUACUGACGCUGAGGUGCGAAAGCGUGGAGAGCAAACAGGAUUAGAUACCCGGGUAGUCCCUGUCUCUUAUAC
rnacentral:rRNA from 1 species